UACGUAGGGUCCGAGCGUUGUCCGGAAUUACUGGGCGUAAAGAGCUCGUAGGUGGUUUGUCGCGUUGUUCGUGAAAACUCACAGCUUAACUGUGGGCGUGCGGGCGAUACGGGCAGACUUGAGUACUGCAGGGGAGACUGGAAUUCCUGGUGUAGCGGUGGAAUGCGCAGAUAUCAGGAGGAACACCGGUGGCGAAGGCGGGUCUCUGGGCAGUAACUGACGCUGGAGGAGCGGAAAGCGUGGGGAGCGAACAGG
rnacentral:rRNA from 1 species